CGUAUUAUUAUUUUAUUUAUUGAUUAGCACAGAAUAGGCGGGGGAAUGUGGGGUUGUUUCUGGAGAGUUCCAUGGAGAGCGAGUGGCGCAUAAUAACAUUUCUUUCUUUCUUCUUUUUUAUAUCCUUCGCCUUUUCAGUUCUCAUCAUCCAAAAUUCUCAUUCAUUUUUCUUUUAAUUUCCAUUUCCAUUUCCAUUCAUUACUAUGACUCAUAUCCUUCAUUUCUUCAUCAUUUGUUCUUCUUUGUAAUUUUAUGUUCCUUUAAGAAACAGAGGAAGAGAGAAUCAGAGGAUUCUUUUUUCUUUUUAUUUUGUUUUGAAGAUUUCAGUGAUUUGAGUUCUUCAAUGGCUGCUGAUAUUGAUGGAUCCAUGAUUUUGGUAGAAAAGGAAAUGAAUUAGGUUGUCUAUUUUGUGGGUUUUUUUAUUUUUAAAUUUUAUUUGUUUAUUUUGUUUAUUCUUUAACUGAAGUGAAAGCGGAAAUCAGAGAGAGCGAGAUCGAGAAAGGGCUCAAGCUAGAGCUGGAAAUAAGUCUAAGCAACCAAGAAACGAUGGCUUGACUCCUCAACAGCGACGUCAAAGGGAUGCAAAAGCUCUUCAGGAGAAGACGGCGAGGAAAGCCGCAAUGGCUGCCGGAGAAAACAAUGCCGGUGGCAGCGGAGGUAAAAAAAAUGUAACUGCAGAUUCAAUCGGGAGUAAAUAGGAGAAGAUUAAAGUAAAAUUGAUCCAGUGUUUAUGGAUUCAUCUGCGUUUGAACAAGUUUGAGUCUGCUUUUGAAUGGUUAUUUGUGUAGUUUUUGUUUGGCUUCAAAAAUGGGUUGUUCUCUCUGCAAACUCACUCAUGUUUGAAUCAAAAUGAUGUCAAUUUCUUUUCAAUUCCAGUGGCCUUUUUUUGUUGGGUGAAGAAUGAAGAUUUUUCUUUCUUUGAUCAUAA